UCUACACAACGUCGAAUGACAUCAGCUGCCGAGUCUAUUAUUUCUUUACUUAUUGGUCGCUCAUUGGCACGCAAUAAAUCUGCAGGGACUUCAUAUUUAUCACCAAAUUCCAAGUCAUCCUUUUGAUGGGUAUUAAGAACAUGGUUGAGCUUAUUAGCAAGAGUUUCAUCUUCUUCUGCGAUAUAACCACUAUAUACAUCAUCUUCAUCAUCUGUGCCAUAUUCU
rnacentral:misc_RNA from 1 species